GAUGAACGCUGGCGGCGUGCCUAAUACAUGCAAGUCGAGCGAACAGACGAGGAGCUUGCUCCUCUGACGUUAGCGGCGGACGGGUGAGUAACACGUGGAUAACCUACCUAUAAGACUGGGAUAACUUCGGGAAACCGGAGCUAAUACCGGAUAAUAUAUUGAACCGCAUGGUUCAAUAGUGAAAGACGGUUUUGCUGUCACUUAUAGAUGGAUCCGCGCCGCAUUAGCUAGUUGGUAAGGUAACGGCUUACCAAGGCAACGAUGCGUAGCCGACCUGAGAGGGGAGACUGCCACAGUGGGAAGGAGAUUCGGGCAGGAAGACGAGGGGAGGAAGAAGGGGGGAAUAGUGUAAAAGGGGUGGAAGCAGGAUGCAGAAAAGCAGCGUGCGGGAUGACGGGCGUCGGGUUGGAAACAGCUGUCGCCUGGGACGAAGCGGGAGUGACGGGAAGGGGUAAAGAAGCACCGGCUAACUAAGUG
rnacentral:rRNA from 1 species